CCAAAACGGCAACGUAGGGCUGGGGCCUACUCCAAGCAGCCACUGUCCGACCUGAAGGCGCUCCUCGGCGGAGUUUACCAAGGCCUUGCACCUAACUUGACUACCGAACCCCAUCCCAGUCUGGUGGACCACAUGCCUGCCAUGGGACUACGUUCCUAGAAAGCCAGCACCCAGACAGAAGGGAGAGACAUAGGGGCUAUGCUACAACUGCCCGCUAGGCCCAAACCGGUCCCAGAAGAAAGCCAGACAGCUACCCCACAAAUGGACCAC